CGCGGGGUAGAGCAGUUGGUUAGCUCGUCGGGCUCAUAAUCCGAAGGUCGUGGGUUCAAGUCCCACCCCCGUUA